UACGGAGGGAGCUAGCGUUGUUCGGAAUUACUGGGCGUAAAGCGCACGUAGGCGGCUUUGUAAGUUAGAGGUGAAAGCCCGGGGCUCAACCCCGGAAUUGCCUUUAAGACUGCAUCGCUUGAAUCCGGGAGAGGUGAGUGGAAUUCCAAGUGUAGAGGUGAAAUUCGUAGAUAUUCGGAAGAACACCAGUGGCGAAGGCGGCUCACUGGACCGGUAUUGACGCUGAGGUGCGAAAGCGUGGGGAGCAAACAGG
rnacentral:rRNA from 1 species